CUAUACAUGCAAGUCGAGCGGAAUGAUGAAGAAGCUUGCUUCUUCUGAUUUUAGCGGCGGACGGGUGAGUAACACGUGGGCAACCUACCUUGUAGAUUGGGAUAACUCCGGGAAACCGGGGCUAAUACCGAAUAAUCCAUUUUGCUUCAUGGCGAAAUGUUGAAAGGCGGCUUCGGCUGUCACUACGAGAUGGGCCCGCGGCGUAUUAGCUAGUUGGUAGGGUAAUGGCCUACCAAGGCGACGAUACGUAGCCGACCUGAGAGGGUGAUCGGCCACACUGGGACUGAGACACGGCCCAGACUCCUACGGGAGGCAGCAGUAGGGAAUCUUCCACAAUGGACGAAAGUCUGAUGGAGCAACGCCGCGUGAGUGAAGAAGGUUUUCGGAUCGUAAAACUCUGUUGUAAGGGAAGAACACGUACGAGAGUAACUGCUCGUACCUUGACGGUACCUUAUUAGAAAGCCACGGCUAACUACGUGCCAGCAGCCGCGGUAAUACGUAGGUGGCAAGCGUUGUCCGGAAUUAUUGGGCGUAAAGCGCGCGCAGGCGGUUCUUUAAGUCUGAUGUGAAAGCCCACGGCUCAACCGUGGAGGGUCAUUGGAAACUGGAGAACUUGAGUACAGAAGAGGAAAGCGGAAUUCCACGUGUAGCGGUGAAAUGCGUAGAGAUGUGGAGGAACNNCNNGUGGCGAAGGCGGCUUUCUGGUCUGUAACUGACGCUGAGGCGC
rnacentral:rRNA from 1 species